rnacentral:rRNA from 1 species
UCUGGCGGCGAGUGGCGAACGGGUGAGUAAUGUAUCGGAACGUGCCUAGUAGCGGGGGAUAACUACUCGAAAGAGUAGCUAAUACCGCAUACGCCCUACGGGGGAAAGGGGGGGAUCGCAAGACCUCUCACUAUUAGAGCGGCCGAUAUCGGAUUAGCUAGUUGGUGAGGUAAAGGCUCACCAAGGCGACGAUCCGUAGCUGGUUUGAGAGGACGACCAGCCACACUGGGACUGAGACACGGCCCAGACUCCUACGGGAGGCAGCAGUGGGGAAUUUUGGACAAUGGGGGAAACCCUGAUCCAGCCAUUCCGCGUGUGCGAUGAAGGCCUUCGGGUUGUAAAGCACUUUUGGCAGGAAAGAAAUCGCACAAAUUAAUACUUUGUGUGGAUGACGGUACCUGCAGAAUAUGCACCGGCUAACUACGUGCCAGCAGCCGCGGUAAUACGUAGGGUGCAAGCGUUAAUCGGAAUUACUGGGCGUAAAGCGUGCGCAGGCGGUUCGGAAAGAGAGGUGUGAAAUCCCAGGGCUCAACCUUGGAACUGCACUUUUAACUACCGGACUAGAGUAUGUCAGAGGGGGGUGGAAUUCCGCGUGUAGCAGUGAAAUGCGUAGAUAUGCGGAGGAACACCGAUGGCGAAGGCAGCCCCCUGGGAUAAUACUGACGCUCAUGCACGAAAGCGUGGGGAGCAAACAGGAUUA